rnacentral:rRNA from 1 species
CUACGGGGCGCUCCAGUGAGGAAUAUUGCACAAUGGGGGGAACCCUGAUGCAGCAACGCCGCGUGGAGGAUGACACUUUUCGGAGCGUAAACUCCUUUUAUAUAGGAAGAAGAUGACGGUACUAUAUGAAUAAGCGCCGGCUAACUCCGUGCCAGCAGCCGCGGUAAUACGGAGGGCGCAAGCGUUACUCGGAAUCACUGGGCGUAAAGAGCGCGUAGGCGGAUUAAAAAGUCAGAAGUGAAAUCCUAUAGCUUAACUAUAGAACUGCUUCUGAAACUCUUAAUCUAGAAUAUGGGAGAGGUAGAUGGAAUUUCUGGUGUAGGGGUAAAAUCCGUAGAGAUCAGAAGGAAUACCGAUUGCGAAGGCGAUCUACUAGAACAUUAUUGACGCUGAGACGCGAAAGCGUGGGGAGCAAACAGGAUUAGAUACCCGAGUAGUC